rnacentral:rRNA from 1 species
UACGUAGGGGGCUAGCGUUGUCCGGAAUCAUUGGGCGUAAAGAGCGCGUAGGCGGCCAGAUAAGUCCGGUGUGAAAGUCAAAGGCUCAACCUUUGAAUGCCGCUGGAAACUGUCUGGCUAGAGUCCGGGAGGGGCGAGUGGAAUUCCUGGUGUAGCGGUGAAAUGCGCAGAUAUCAGGAGGAACACCGGUGGCGAAGGCGGCAUCCUGGACCGACACUGACGCUGAGGAGCGAAAGCCAGGGGAGCAAACGGG